UACGUAGGGGGCAAGCGUUGUCCGGAAUCAUUGGGCGUAAAGAGUGUGUAGGCGGCUCGAUAAGUCUGCUGUGAAAGUCCAGGGCUCAACCCUGGAAGGCCGGUGGAAACUGUCGGGCUAGAGUCCGGAAGAGGCGAGUGGAAUUCCCGGUGUAGCGGUGAAAUGCGCAGAUAUCGGGAGGAACACCAAUGGCGAAGGCAGCUCGCUGGGACGGUACUGACGCUGAGACGCGAAAGCGUGGGGAGCAAACAGG
rnacentral:rRNA from 1 species